UGGGACUACCCCCUGAAUUUAAGCAUAUUAAUUAGGGGAGGAAAAGAAACUAACAAGGAUUUUCUUAGUAGCGGCGAGCGAAAAGAAAACAGUUCAGCACUAAGUCACUUUGUCUAUAUGGCAAAUGUGAGAUGCAGUGUAUGGAGCGUCAAUAUUCUAGUAUGAGAAAUUAAUGAUUUAAGUCCUUCUUAAAUGAGGCCAUUUACCCAUAGAGGGUGCCAGGCCCGUAUAACGUUAAUGAUUGCUAGAUGAUGUUUCCAAAGAGUCGUGUUGCUUGAUAGUGCAGCACUAAGUGGGUGGUAAACUCCAUCUAAAACUAAAUAUAACCAUGAGACCGAUAGUAAACAAGUACCGUGAGGGAAAGUUGAAAAGAACUCUGAAUAGAGAGUUAAACAGUACGUGAAACUGCUUAGAGGUUAAGCCCGAUGAACCUGAAUAUCCGUUAUGGAAAAUUCAUCAUUAAAAUUGUAAUAUUUAAAUAAUAUUAUUAAGAAUAAUGUGCAUUUUUUCCAUAUAAGGACAUUGUAAUCUAUUAGCAUAUCCCAAAUUUAUCAUAAAAUAUAACUUAUAGUUUAUUCCAAUUAAAUUGCUUGCAUUUUAACACAGAAUAAAUGUUAUUAAUUUGAUAAAGUGCUGAUAGAUUUAUAUUAUUACAGAGCGUUAAUUUUUCGGAAUUAUAUAAUGGCAUAAUUAUCAUUGAUUUUUGUGUUUAUUAUAUGCUCUUGUAUGAUUAACAUUGCGAAAGAUUCAGGAUACCUUCGGGACCCGUCUUGAAACACGGACCAAGGAGUCUAACAUAUGUGCAAGUUAUUGGGAUGUAAACCUAAUAGCGUAAUUAACUUGACUAAUAAUGGGAUUAGUUUUUUAGCUAUUUAUAGCUAAUUAACACAAUCCCGGGGCGUUCUAUAUAGUUAUGUAUAAUGUAUAUUUAUAUUAUUUAUGCCUCUAACUGGAACGUACCUUGAGCAUAUAUGCUGUGACCCGAAAGAUGGUGAACUAUACUUGAUCAGGUUGAAGUCAGGGGAAACCCUGAUGGAAGACCGAAACAGUUCUGACGUGCAAAUCGAUUGUCAGAAUUGAGUAUAGGGGCGAAAGACCAAUCGAACCAUCUAGUAGCUGGUUCCUUCCGAAGUUUCCCUCAGGAUAGCUGGUGCAUUUUAAUAUUAUAUAAAAUAAUCUUAUCUGGUAAAGCGAAUGAUUAGAGGCCAUAGGGUCGAAACGAUCUUAACCUAUUCUCAAACUUUAAAUGGGUAAGAACCUUAACUUUCUUGAUAUGAAGUUCAAGGUUAUGAUAUAAUGUGCCCAGUGGGCCACUUUUGGUAAGCGAGAACUGGCGCUGUGGGAUGAACCAAACGUAA
rfam:Drosophila sechellia strain Rob3c scaffold_10580 genomic scaffold, whole genome shotgun sequence.